rnacentral:lncRNA from 1 species
ACGGGCGGUGUGUACAGGCCCGGGAAGAUCACGCCGUANGGCUGACCGGNAUCUAGCGAUUCCUGCUUCAUGCAGGGCNGUUGCANCCCUGCCGNNNNNNNNNNNNNNNNNNNNNNNNNNNNNNNNNNNNNNNNNNNNNNNNNNNNNNNNNNNNNNNNNNNNNNNNNNNNNNNNNNNNNNNNNNNNNNNNNNNNUAAACAAAUAGAUAUAGUAUACCACCUAACGAUUUUGUUUCCCUUAUGAGGUAAAAAGAAAAUUAAUGAACCGGCAAAUAUCGGCAAAACAACAAGUAUUGUUAACCAAGGAAAAUAACUCAUGAUAAAGUGAUAAAGACAAGAUACGUUUUGACCAGAAAAGCCCGUGCUCGAUUAUUUCGAGCACAGGCUUCUUCGGUAAAGAGGAAUCAGACGAUUCAAAUGAAGUUUUUUGUUUUUGUAACGUAUCAAUAAGAUAGAGCCAUGCUACGGGUUGUUUCAGGCCCUAAAUAAACGCGGACACUUAAAAAAUCUGUCGGGCAGGCAGAUUCACAUCUCUUACAACCCACACAAUCUUCGGUUCUCGGCGCGGAAGCAAUUUGCUUGGCUUUACAUCCAUCCCAGGGUAUCAUUUCUAAUACAUCUGUUGGACAAGCUCGUACACAUUGAGUGCAUCCUAUACAUGUAUCAUAAAUUUUUACGGAAUGUGACAUUGGAUCUAUAAAUUUUUCUUUUCAACAUAAAAUUUUUCGAUCUGGUAAAAAGAAAAUUAGUACUAUAUGAGUCAUAUGUAUUGUAGACACCAGACGAAGCAAUGGUUUAUCCAAACUUCAAAAUUAAAAAUCUAUUUUUUAAUCCGUUUGUGAGAAAGCGUGAAAAGAGCCAAGAGACUUGAAUUUUGGACUUCAACAAUAAGAAAGAAUUUUACAAAUUGUACAGACGAUUUCGAAUUAGCCAAUUUAUUUUAUUGGCUAUCGUCUUUUCAAUAUAAAUUAUUGCAAUUUGAAUAUUGCAAUAUCAAUGAAUUACAAAUACAAAAAUUCAUUUAAGUGAAAAAGAAUACUAUGCAAUAACCUACUUACUAAAAAAAAAAGGAUAUUCUCAAAUAAUACUAAGAAAAUAGUAUGGAUUUCUAUAUUAUUUUAAUAUGUGCGCCUUUGUUUAGAGGAUUUUAUGUCUAAUUAUUAAAAAGUCUAAUUAUUCAAUAAAUUAGAUUGAUUGAUACGAGUGGAUUUCCUAUUACGAUGGAUGGAAGAAAGAAUGGAUAGUCCAAUAGCGGCUUCAGCAGCGGCAAGGGCUAUAACAAAAAUGGCGAAAAUAUCUCCUUUUAAUUGGCGACUAUCAAAUAGAUCAGAAAAUGUUACGAGAUUUAGAUUAAUUGAAUUCAGUAUAAGUUCAAGACAUAUUAGAGCUCUAACCAUGUUUCGGCUUGUGAUCAAUCCAUAGAUACCAAUCGAAAUAAUAGACACUCAAAAAAAGUACAUGCUCAAACAUCAUUAACUAACUCCUUAUCAAUCUCGAUUCAUUUCAUAUGAGGCAAGAAUUCGAACGAUUCAUUAAUUACAAUAGAANAAUUAACACAAACAAAAGAAGAAAAGGAAGGAGGUAUUUNUUGGGCAGUAGNUGGGUUUACAAAUACAAAUUGUGUAUUCUUUAGUUAUUUAUUUAGUAUUUGNNNNNNNNNNNNNNNNNNNNNNNNNNNNNNNNNNNNNNNNNNNNNNNNNNNNNNNNNNNNNNNNNNNNNNNNNNNNNNNNNNNNNNNNNNNNNNNNNNNNGCAUGCAAGCUUUAUGUUAGGCGCAGUACUCAUACAGGAACUUAUGAGCAAGAAUUGCUCUAUCAAUCACCAUCGACAUUAGAUAUAUCUUCUGAAACUUUUUUAAAAUCCAAAAGUCCAGUACCUUCCUACAAAUUAGUGAAUUAGGAGGGGGGGGCUCUUUUGUGUAGAAAAAGAAAAAGCAGAGCAAUCUUUCAAACUUGCAUCCGAAAUGGGAAAUAUUUAUACAAAGAGGGAGAGAUGAAGACAAUGCAGCAGGGUUGGUUAUCUAAUUGGCUAGUCAAACAUGAGGUGGUUCAUAGAUCUUUGGGCUUUGAUCACCGAGGAAUAGAGACUUUACAAAUAAAAGCAGGGGAUUGGGAUUCCAUUGCUGUCAUUUUAUAUGUAUAUGGUUAUAAUUAUUUACGCUCCCAAUGUGCUUAUGAUGUAGCACCCGGUGGAUCUUUAGCUAGCGUGUAUCAUCUUACAAGAAUACAAUACGGUAUAGAUAAUCCAGAAGAAGUCUGCAUAAAAGUCUUUGCCCAAAAGGAUAAUCCUAGAAUUCCGUCUGUCUUCUGGAUUUGGAGAAGUGCCGAUUUUCAAGAACGCGAAUCUUAUGAUAUGGUGGGAAUCUCUUAUGAUAAUCAUCCGCGCCUUAAACGUAUCCUAAUGCCUGAAAGUUGGAUAGGCUGGCCCUUACGUAAGGACUAUAUAACCCCCAAUUUUUAUGAAAUACAAGAUGCUCAUUGAAUGAUAAGAAAUUCGUGCUCACUUAUACAACACAACUCCAGAUUUUAUUCAAGUCAAGGAAUAUUUUUAGGUUCUUUUCCUAGAUGAAACGGAAUACCUAUUUAUAAUUAAUUCCUAUUAUACAAAAGCAUUCCAGAUAGACUGAGCCAAAAAAGGGUUUCAUUUGGAUUCCCCUAUUUUGAAAAUCACAUAUUAAUUUCCUUCAUAUGAACAGAAAAAUAGGAUGACUCAAAGAAGUUCUCUACCAGGAACUUUGUAUCGCGCACAUGACUUAGCACAACUAGGAAAAUAAGAUAAGAUAAAGAUAAGCAAGACUAAAAAAAUAUUCGUCGGAAUAGUGGAAUACAAAAUAAAGAAACGCAAAAAAAUAAAGGGGAACCUAAUCUCACCCCCUUCCUUAUCAUAAAGAAAGGGUAUAUUUUAAAACUUCUCUAAAAAGAAGUGCCUCUAUAUUUAUAUUAUAGAUUUAUCCACUUAGAUGAAUAAAUCAUACUCUAUCUAUAUUAUAUAUUAUUAAUAAAUAUGUAUCACAAUCCAUCUCGAGGUAUUUGGAUCAAUACCUAUUCGGUGGAUCUUUUUUUUUCUCUGCCAGGAACCAGAUUUGAACUGGUGACACGAGGAUUUUCAGUCCUCUGCUCUACCAACUGAGCUAUCCUGACCUUUUCUUGUGCAUCAUCCUAGUAGAGUAUUUGUAUCUAUGUCAAUUAAAAGGACUAAAAAAAUCAAUUAAAGUAUUUCAAAUUCAAAAUUUGAAAGGGGGGGGGUAGCCCUAUGCAUUGUGCAUGGUUUACUUAAAUAAUACUUAAAAAUAGAGUGAAUAACCAAGAUUUCUUGCCGAUACUCUAAUAAAAAAGAAAUCUAUUCAAUGAAUAGGAUAAGAUCCAUUGAGUUCUCUUCGCAUUCCUUUCCUUUGUGAAAGAGUAGAAUGAGAAAGCUAAUGAAUCUUAAACCCAUUGAUAAAAAGAAAAAAAAAGAGGAUUUGGGGAUAGAGGGACUUGAACCCUCACAACUUAAAAAGUCGACGGAUUUUCCUUUUACUAGAAAUUUCAUUGUUGUCAGUAUUGACAUGUAGAAUGGGACUCUCUCUUUGUCCUCGUCCGAUUAAUCCACUUUCUUUUUAAAAGUUCUCAAAACUUUGAAUUUGAAUUGAAGAAUUUGAUUAUUCAAUAUUCGAAUGGAGUGGAUUCACAAUAAUUCAAAAUAAAAUUAUGAUAUGAGUUUUUUAUUUCAUAAUCAUUUCGAAUUUUAUUUUGAAUUUUAAAAAAGAUAAAGAACCUAUAUUAUAAUAUGAGUUCUGUGAUUAAUCGUUUGCUAUGUCAGUAUCUAUACGUGUUUAUUAAAUGUAUAAAGUAUAAAACCCCCUCUUUCUACUAAUUUUAGAAUUUAGAACGGUAAUUCCAACUUAACAACACCAAACCGGUUAAUUUAAACCUCGUAAGUUUANNNNNNNNNNNNNNNNNNNNNNNNNNNNNNNNNNNNNNNNNNNNNNNNNNNNNNNNNNNNNNNNNNNNNNNNNNNNNNNNNNNNNNNNNNNNNNNNNNNNUUAAUUCCCCCCGUUACGGUGGUUCGGCCUUUAGGNGAGUUCUCAGUACCCYMAAAUACUUUAUUUAUUUGUUUGUUUGUUGCCCAGAAAAACCCUUUGGUUUUGGAUGCUCAUUACCACUGGAAAAUGAUCUUGAUUUUACUAAAGAAUAAGAUUGUACUAUGGAAAAAUAAGUCUUUUUCUUCCAAAUAUUUUUACGAAUACGCUUUUUUGACAUUGAAGUACGUUUUUUUUGGAACUGCCAUUCAAAAAGGAAAUUACUUUUUUUCUAGUUGUAUGUGAAAGACAUCUAUUGCUGCAAAUCAAUCCUUCUUUCUUGUUUUUAUUAGUAUUUAUACUUAGAUACUGAAAGAUACUGAAAUUGUGAAUUAUUUUUUACUUCAUUUUGUCUAAUGCGGAUAAGACAAGAAUUUUUAAACAUUUUUUCUGUAUAUAUUUUAUACUUUGUUUUAAUAAUAUAGAAUAUAUAGAAGGGUUUCCCAUUUAUAUCUAUUUAUAUAUCAAGUAUACUCCAUAUAUAGAUAUAUGGUAUGGAAGCCUAUCCCCCGGGGGGAUAAAAAGAAGGGAAAAUUCAAAUAGUUAAUUAAGCUCAGAAUGAUAUUGUAUUGUAUUCCAUAAAGGAAAGGAAUUCUAAUCAAAACAAAAAAUACUGAGUCUCUUAAACAAGACAUUCUAAAACUUAGGUAAUUUAUAGUCAUAAGGACUAUUCGAUAAUUUCUUAUAAACAUAGAUUUUCAUUGGAAUUCACUCAAUCAGUUAUGGAACAAGAGAGCUGUUUCAUCUUUGUUUUAAAGAAAUAUAAAAAUGAAUAGAAAGUAAAAAGUAAAACGAUUCCUUUUUUUUUUUUUGUAAAUAUCUUUAUUUAGAUAAUAACUAGGUAACGAAGUUAUUUGAUUAACUUUUUGAAUUUAACCAACUAAACCCAUUCUUCAUUUUUUAUUAUUUCAAUGAGAUAAAUUUUUUAAAAAAAUGAAGAAUUCCAGUUAUUUUUUCUUAUUCUUUUUAUUUAUUCUUUCAGAAAGAGAUAAGAGUUGGUUUGGUGAAUCGGAAACAAUUUUAUAGAAAAAUUGAAAGUAAAAAAUCGCAAUUUCUUUUCUUAUGGAACAUACAUAUCAAUAUGCAUGGGUAAUCCCUCUUCUCCCACUUCCAGUUAUUAUGUCAAUGGGAUUUGGCCUUAUUCUUAUUCCGACAGCAACAAAAAAUCUUCGUCGCAUAUGGGCUUUUCCUAGUGUUUUACUCUUAAGUAUAGCUAUGGUAUUCUCAGUUCAACUGUCUAUUCAACAAAUAAAUGGAAGUUCUAUCUAUCAAUAUCUAUGGUCUUGGACCGUCAAUAAUGAUUUUUCUUUAGAAUUUGGAUACUUGAUUGACCCACUUACUUCUAUUAUGUUAAUACUAAUUACUACUGUAGGAAUCCUGGUUCUUAUUUAUAGUGAUGGUUAUAUGUCUCACGAUGAAGGAUAUUUGAGAUUUUUUUGUUUAUAUAAGUUUUUUCAAUACUUCUAUGUUGGGAUUGGUUACUAGCUCCAAUUUGAUACAAAUUUAUUUUUUUUUGGGAACUCGUGGGAAUGUGUUCUUAUUUAUUGAUAGGCUUUUGGUUUACACGACCAAUCGCAGCGAGUGCUUGUCAAAAAGCUUUUGUAACUAAUCGUGUAGGGAUUUUGGUCUAUUAUUAGGAAUUUUAGGUUUUUUUUGGAUAACAGGUAGUUUAGAGUUUAGGGAUUUGUUCCAAAUCGCUAAUAACUGGAUUCCUAAUAAUGGAAUUAACUCUUUACUUACUACUUUGUGUGCUUUUUUAUUAUUCCUUGGUGCAGUUGCGAAAUCCGCACAAUUCCCUCUUCACGUAUGGUUACCCGAUGCUAUGGAAGGACCCACUCCUAUUUCGGCUCUUAUACACGCAGCAACUAUGGUUGCUGCGGGAAUUUUUCUUCUAGCUCGACUUCUUCCUCUUUUCAUAUCUUUACCUUUGAUAAUGAGUUUUAUUUCUUUAGUAGGUACAAUAACACUAUUCUUAGGAGCUACUUUAGCUCUUGCUCAGAGAGAUAUUAAAAGAAGCUUAGCCUAUUCUACAAUGUCUCAAUUGGGUUAUAUGAUGUUAGCUCUAGGUAUAGGUUCUUAUCAAGCUGCUUUAUUCCAUUUGAUCACUCAUGCUUAUUCAAAAGCUUUAUUGUUCUUGGGAUCUGGAUCCGUUAUUCAUUCAAUGGAACCUCUUGUUGGGUAUUCACCAGAUAAAAGUCAAAAUAUGGUUCUUAUGGGCGGUUUAAGAAAAUACAUUCCAAUCACAAGAACUACUUUUUUAUGGGGUACACUUUCUCUUUGUGGUAUUCCACCUCUUGCUUGCUUCUGGUCCAAAGAUGAAAUCCUUAGUAAUAGUUGGUUGUAUUCGCCCUUUUUUGGAAUAAUAGCUUCCUUUACUGCAGGAUUAACUGCCUUUUAUAUGUUUCGGAUAUAUUUACUUACAUUUGGUGGGUAUUUGCGUGUUCAUUUUCAAAAUUACAGUAGCACUAAAGAGAGUUCCUUGUAUUCAAUAUCCUUAUGGGGGAAAAAAGGAUACCCAAAGGAGUGAAUAGGGAUUUCGUUUUAUCAACAACGAAGAGUGGAGUUUCUUUUUUUUUCACAAAAUAUACCCAAAAUUCAAGGUAAUACAAGAAAUAGGAUAGGAUCCUUUACUACGUCUUUUGGGGCUAAAAACACUUUUGCCUAUCCGCAUGAAACGGGAAAUACUAUGUUAUUUCCUCUUCUUAUAUUACUACUUUUCACUUUGUUCAUUGGAUUCAUAGGAAUCUCUUUUGAUAAUGGAGGAAUGGAUAAUGGAAUAGCAGAGUUAACCAUAUUAUCAAAGUGGUUAACUCCCUCAAAAAACUUUACCCAGGAAAGUUCUAAUUCUUUUGUAAAUUCAUAUGAAUUUAUUACUAAUGCAAUUUCUUCUGUAACUCUAGCUAUCUUUGGUUUAUUNNNNNNNNNNNNNNNNNNNNNNNNNNNNNNNNNNNNNNNNNNNNNNNNNNNNNNNNNNNNNNNNNNNNNNNNNNNNNNNNNNNNNNNNNNNNNNNNNNNNAUCUCACCUCUUUUUUURKUUAUUCACUGGAGCAAUUAUAUAUUAAAGUCAAUCCGAGGCAAGUGUUCGGAUCUAUUAUGACAUAAAGGUUAGGUGCCUAACGGACAUUGUUUAUCUUGAAAAAACAAAUAUUUCUCGGCGUAAGAAAAAAUCUUUUUUAUUUUAAAUUUAAGAAACUAGUGUAUUUUUUUUUAGGGCAUAAGCUCCUAUCUAUAUCUACUUUCCUUGAGCAUAAUAUAGGGUUUUUUAUUUUUUAUUUGAUUCUAAAUUCCAAGAUAACUCAUUAGAAUUAUUAAUAAGAUGGUUCUAAUAUAUUAGCAAUAUUUAGAUUGGCCCCCUUUUUUUUAUUCACUUUAUUACUUCUAUUCUAGACCCUAUCCCUAUGGUUUAUUCUUAUGAAAUAUCUUAUAAAAUAGAAGGUAUAAGAAAUGGAUAUAAUGAAAUUCUUGAUUCGAUCUUACGACCUAAUUUAUUUGAUUAAUGGAUCAACAACCAAACCAUCCAUUUUAGGAAAAAAAAGGAGCAUGGUCUUAUUCAAAUUCAAAGCGCUUCGUAAUCUUCAACCAGUUUUGUGCUUCAAUAUAAUUUCCCGGAGUAAGCGCUAUAGCUUGUUUCCAAUAUUCAGCAGCUUGAUCAAACCAAGCUUCCGCAAUUUCCGAAUCACCCUCUAGAAUGGCCUGUUCUCCUCGGUCGGAAUAGGCAGUUCCUUCCCUUAGAACCGUACUUGAGAGUUUCCUACCUCAUACGGCUCAGAAAUUGCUAUCUUAAUUUCCCCUAUCUUAACUGAAUUCGAUUUAUCAAAAAUCGAUCCAAUUUGUUCUUGUGUUAAGCAGAAGAAAUUAAUUACCUAAGUUUCAAACCCUAAUUUUUCUCAAUAAUUAGUUUGAUCUUUUUUCCCACCUUCAGAAGAAUGAAGCAUAGAUAGAUAUAGAGCCUUCGUUCAAAUUUUCUGAAAGGUAACUAUCCCGGUUUCAUAUAUGAAAUCUCUAUAGAAUCCUUGAAAAAGACUUUUUUCCAUAAGAAAGAAAAAAGAACUUACUAUCUUUGGGAUCUGAUACUACACCGCUGCUUAAUCCCUUAGUGGAUCGGCUCUAUUACAUAAGCGGAUUCCUAAAUUUUGCCCCAUAUCAUGGGAUAAGUAAGCAGUUUUUUUUAGUUGUAUCGACCCAGUCGCUCACUAAUUGAUCUUUACGGUGCUUUCUCUAUCAAUUUGAGAAACUUUAUCCAUAGAGUAGUAGUAUAGGCCAUACUUUCUUCGUUUUUUGAUUCUCGUGAAGUGUCCUUCCUUCCUACAGCUGAUAGGGAAAAAUCGUUGUUUUUACGAUCCCUAUGUAGAAAGCCCUUUUUUUCCAGUAUUUACUAGAAAAUUUGAUCCUCUCUUUUUUUUGUCUUUCUAUAGUGGAGAUAGUCGCACGUAAUGACAGAUCACGGCCAUAUUAUUAAAAGCUUGCGGUAAGAAGGGGUUUCGUUCUAGUGCCCGGAAAUAAUAUUCCAAAGCCUUUGUAUGCUCUCCAUUGCUUGUGUGUAUAAGGCCUAUGUUAUAGAGUAUAUAACUUCGAUCAUAGGGAUCGAUUUCUAGUCGCGUAGCUUCAUAAUAAUUUUGCAAAGCUUCCGCAUAAUUUCCUUCGGAUUGAGCCAACAUCCGUUACGGUCGUUCAUUCUAUUCAAAAAAAUCUCCGUUCCAAAACCGUACAUGAGGUUUUCAUCUCAUACGGCUCCUCCCUUCUGUACAUAAUAGUACUAAGCGAAAUAAUCUUAAUCUAUAGAAUCAAAAUAGAAUUAGUCCCGUCUCAUUAUGAACCGAAAGGGGCUGGUAUUUUUCCAAGAAAUCUCUAGCCAACCUUCCCACAAGAGGUUUUUCUUAACACCAAUGAAUUCUAUUAAUGCUAGAGGAAAACGAUAGCUCCAAUAAUUUCUUUGUUCUCAACGCCUCCUAUUUAGAGGAAUUAGCUACUUCAACGAUCUUUGAUGGUUAUAGGGGUAUCCAAAGUACAAACCUGAUGGUUGUUUGUUAUCCCAACCAUUCUUCCCAGCCCUGAUACCGAUCAGGAAAGGGGUAAUUUCUACCAAAGUUUUUCUCUUGUUGAUUCCUAUUUCUAGGUGUAGUGCUUUUCUCCCCUAUGCUGCCUACGGAUACUAAUAGAGUGGCCUGUAAUCCAUACCAUACCAUAUCCUGUAGGUGUAACCUUUCGCUCAAUACUCAAAUCUACAAUUGAAGUAUCUGAAGCCGCAUCAAUCGAGGAUACACGACGGAAGGAAUUGUUAGUUCGCCUCACCUUCCCGAAGCGUGGGUUUGCUUGCUUUACAAAUUUGGUUCUCUCUAUGCCAACCCCUUUUCUUUUUCCUAAGACUGAGGUAUAGGUAGGUCUAAAAAAAAGCAAAAAAAAAAAGAGUCAAAUCGCACCAUCUCUAUAAUAAGUAAAUGCCUUUUUUUUCUCCUGAGGUUGUCGGAAUUAUUCGCAAUAAAAUAUUGGCUAUAAUUGAGAAGGUCUUAUCAAUGAAAUUCCWMAUUUACGACGGGAAUCUAAGGCUAUAAAUUCCCAAGCCAUUCUAUAUAGAAUUGUUUCAUUCCUUCACAAAAUAMCAUAAAAACAAACACAUUCGAUUCUUAUAAUUAUAAAUAGAUUGNNNNNNNNNNNNNNNNNNNNNNNNNNNNNNNNNNNNNNNNNNNNNNNNNNNNNNNNNNNNNNNNNNNNNNNNNNNNNNNNNNNNNNNNNNNNNNNNNNNNAAUAAUGAAUUAAGGAAGAAAGGAUAUGAUCUACCGCUUACAAAAAAAGAUCUCAUAGAUAGUCAAUAUGGGCCCUCAACACCAUCAAUGCAUGGUGUUCUUCGACUGAUCGUUACUCUUGAUGGUGAGGAUGUUAUUGAUUGUGAACCCAUAUUAGGGUAUUUACACAGAGGAAUGGAAAAAAUCGCGGAAAACCGAACGAUUAUACAAUACUUACCUUAUGUAACAAGGUGGGAUUAUUUAGCUACUAUGUUUACAGAAGCAAUAACAGUAAAUGCACCAGAAUUCUUGGAGAAUAUUCAAAUACCACAAAGAGCCAGCUAUAUUAGGGUAAUUAUGUUAGAGUUAAGCCGUAUAGCUUCUCACUUGCUAUGGCUUGGACCUUUUAUGGCGGAUCUCGGCGCACAGACUCCUUUUUUCUACAUUUUUUAGAGAGAGAGAAUUAAUAUAUGAUCUAUUUGAAGCUGCUACAGGUAUGCGAAUGAUGCACAAUUACUUCCGCAUCGGAGGAGUAGCCGCCGAUCUACCUUAUGGAUGGAUCGAUAAAUGUUUAGAUUUCUGUGAUUAUUUUUUACGCGGAGUUGUUGAAUAUCAACAACUUAUUACACAGAAUCCCAUUUUUUUAGAGCGAGUUGAAGGAGUAGGUUUUAUUAGCGGAGAAGAAGCAGUAAAUUGGGGCUUAUCGGGACCUAUGUUACGAGCUUCUGGAAUACAAUGGGAUCUUCGUAAAGUGGAUCCUUAUGAGUCUUACAACCAAUUUGAUUGGGAAAGUYCCAAUUGGCAAAAAGAGGCGAUUCAUUAGCUGCUAUUUGNNNNNNNNNNNNNNNNNNNNNNNNNNNNNNNNNNNNNNNNNNNNNNNNNNNNNNNNNNNNNNNNNNNNNNNNNNNNNNNNNNNNNNNNNNNNNNNNNNNNGGGGAUAGAGGGACUUGAACCCUCACAAACUUUAAAAAAGGUCGACGGAGUUUUUUUCCCUUUUUUUACUAGAAAUUUUCAUUUGUUGUCAGUUAUUGACAUGUAGAAUGGGACUCUCUCUUUGUCCUCGUCCGAUUAAUCCACUUUUCUUUUUUUAAAAGUUUCUCAAAACUUUGAAUUUGAAUUUGAAGAAAUUUUGAUUAUUUCAAUAUUCGAAUGGAGUGGAUUCACAAUAAUUUCAAAAUAAAAUUAUGAUAUGAGUUUUUUAUUUCAUAAUCAUUUCGAAUUUUAUUUUGAAAUUUUAAAAAAGAUAAAGAACCUAUAUUAUAAUAUGAGUUCUGUGAUUAAUCGUUUGCUAUGUCAGUAUCUAUACGUGUUUAUUAAAUGUAUAAAGUAUAAAACCCCUCUUUCUCUAAUUUAGAAUUAGAAGGAAUUCCACUAACAACACAACGUAAUUAACUCGAUUCGUUAGAACAGCUUCCAUUGAGUCUCUGCACCUAUCCUUUUCCUUUGUAUUCUAGUUCGAGAAUCCCUUCUCAAAACACGGAUUUGGCUCAGGAUUGCCCUUUUUUAAUUCCAGGGUUUCUCUGAAUUUGGAAGUUACCACUUAGCAGGUUUCCAUACCAAGGCUCAAUACAAUCAAGUCCGUAGCGUCUACCGAUUUCGCCAUAUCCCACUUCCCUCUUCUUUGAGACCAGGAUUCCUUGUGUAAUUUCAUCCAUCUCUUAGUUUUUUUUUUGAAUCAUUGAGUUCAUCACUCAACGUAGUCUAGCAGUUCAGUUCGACUCUAUUUGAGAGACCCCGCUUGCUUAUUGCAAUUCUGAAUUACAUUGAUUCUAUCCUUGAUGUAUUUGCAAUUCAAUCCGAAUCAAUAUAUCCAAAACUUUUUAUCUCCCCCACCUCCCGUCUUACUUUUUUAUAGUAUUCGAAAUUAUACUAUAACGCUGGAUAUUUAUUCUUUUUUUCUAAUCAGAAUUAUCAAUUUUAUUUACUCUGACUUUAUGUUCCCCUUAGUGAAAUAUUAAUCCUCAAAUUAUUAACAAAUAAUAAAGUCUAUAAUGAUCGAAUGAAAAUACCCAUAAAGUCUAUAAUUUCUUUUUAAAUAUCCUAUAGUUAAGCAUAUCAAGCUAACUUUAUCUUUAAGAAGUUUUAGUAUUUUUUUAUUUAGUAUUUUUUUAUAAGUAGAACUUCAAAUUUAGAACUAGUUAAUAGCUAAGAGUAAUAACUAAUAUCUGAGAUUUUACGGAUUUCCUAUACUAUACCUAUUUCUAUUUGUUACACUAUUUCCGUUAUGUAAGCCCACUUAGCUCAGAGGUUAGAGCAUCGCAUUUGUAAUGCGAGGGUCAUCGGUUCAAAUCCGAUAGUCGGCUUUUUUUUUCUCUAUCGAUGUUCUACGAACAAGAAUCUCUUUUUUUCCGAAUUAAAUGGAGAAUCCAGGAUCUUUUAUGUUUUUUACCUUACUAUUUUGCUAGAUACAAACAAUAAAAUAAAUAAUAUAUAUACAAAAAAUACAAAAAAUACAGAUUUUGAUGAAAUUCCAUUUUUUGUGGUACUUUAGUUGAUUUUACUCUGUUUAUCCUGUAGUUUAAUUCAGUUUUAAUUUCGAUGUAUUCUGUAAUGUAAAUACAAUGAAAUUAAUUGUGUAAAAUGAAAUUUCAAUAAAAAAAAGGAGUCUUCAUGUCCCGUUAUCGAGGACCUCGUUUAAAAAAAAUACGCCGUUUGGGAGCUUUACCAGGACUCACUAGAAAAACACCUAAAUCCGGAAGUAAUCUUAAAAAAAAAAUUCAAUUCUGGGAAAAAGGAGCAAUAUCGUAUUCGUCUUCAAGAAAAACAGAAAUUGCGUUUUCAUUAUGGUCUGACAGAACGACAAUUACUUAGAUAUGUACAUAUCGCUGGAAAAGCAAAAAGGUCAACAGGCCAGGUUUUACUACAAUUACUUGAAAUGCGUUUGGAUAAUAUCCUUUUUCGAUUGGGUAUGGCUUCAACCAUUCCUGGGGCCCGCCAAUUAGUCAACCAUAGACAUAUUUUAGUUAAUGGCCGUAUAGUCAAUAUACCAAGUUUUCGUUGCAAACCCCGAGAUAUUAUUACUACGAAAGAUAACCAAAGAUCAAAAGGUCUGGUUCAAAAUUAUAUUGCUUCAUCGGACCCGGGGAAAUUGCCAAGCCAUUUGACGAUUGACACAUUGGAAUAUAAAGGACUAGUAAAUAAAAUCCUAGAUAGGAAGUGGGUCGGUCUCAAAAUAAAUGAGUUGUUAGUUGUAGAAUAUUACUCUCGUCAGACUUGAACUUAAUGAAAAAAGGAAAGGUUCAUAGAAUUUUCUUCCCCUUCCCCUUUCCCCGAACUAAAUAGCCCUAAGACCAUUACCAUUAAUUCGUAUUUUCCCAUCAACUAGCUAAAAUUGAUUAACCCUAGGAUUAGGAUCCUUUUUGCUUUUUUCCUCUAUGUUUACAUACCACAGUAAUUUGCUAUAGAGAAUUUUUAAUUUCUAUUAAAUAAAAAUAAGAUAAUAUAAGAUAUUAUUACUGGAAUAAAUUGCUAUUUGAUUUGAUACAUUGUGAUCCUUAACGUUGAUGAAUUAAGAAAAACGGAAAGAGAGGGAUUCGAACCCUCGGUAAACAAAAGUCUACAUAGCAGUUCCAAUGCUACGCCUUGAACCGCUCGGCCAUCUUUCCUACAUAACUUAUUAUGGAAAUAAACUGAGUGAAUAGCGAGUUUUCUUAUUCCUGCAGUACAGGUACAACCGCAACCGCUCGGGGGUUCCCUAGUUCUAUUGGAAAAAUUCCUUUUGAUCUAGGUGGAAGGAUACAGGAUUUUUUACUAGAAAUUGCGCUCGCUAUAAAAUAAAAGUUUUAAUUUAGGUUUUCCCGCAACUAAAGAAAAAGAGAAUGCAAGAAUUCUUCUUAUUGCAUAAUAAAAUAAAGAAACCUUAGAAUUCCGUUUGCAUAAGAUACGCUACACCAUUGAAAUCAAAAAUAGAGUAUGAGACAAUUAAUAACUUUGRAAAACACGAAAUAGUUGAUGACAUAAGUUGUUGUUCAGAAAUAGGAAAGUGGAAUGAAAUCCAGUCUUAGUCAAAUAUUGCAUAUCUCUUCGUGUCCAAGCAGAAGGAAAAGGAUACAAUUUGAGCUGAGCGGAAAAUCCAUAUCUCUCUUAUCCAUUUAAACAUAUGGAUUUAGAGCAUAUGGAUCAAUCUAUUUAUAAUUAUAAGAAUCGAAUGUGUUUGUUUUUAUGUUAUUUGUGAAGGAUGAAAACAAUUUCUAUAUAGAAUGGCUUAGGGAAUUAUUGGCCUAGAUCCCGUGUAAAUGGAAAUUUCGAUUGAUAAGNNNNNNNNNNNNNNNNNNNNNNNNNNNNNNNNNNNNNNNNNNNNNNNNNNNNNNNNNNNNNNNNNNNNNNNNNNNNNNNNNNNNNNNNNNNNNNNNNNNNUAGGGGUUCAUUGAUAUUCCUGGUNUAGUAGAUNCUAUCACNCAUACAGUCAUACUCAAUUCGAUGGAAUUGUUUGAUCUUAAAGGGGAUCUUCUAUAAUUUCGCACAUAAGGGUUAUUUCUUGGUUUCGUCCAGUCAUUAAUAACUUGAUUAUUUUUUAGAUAAUAGUAGAUAGAAAGAACGCUCGUAAGGAGUCCUAUUGAAACCAAGAAAUAUAGGCCUGCUUGCCAUCCACACCAGAAUAGAUAGAGUUUUCCGAAGAAACCUGCUAGUGGAGGAAGGCCUCCUAGGGAUAAGAGACAUAGGGCUAAAGAGAGAGCCAAAAAAAGGAUCUUUCAUGUAUAAUCCUGCAUAAUCUCGAAUGUUAUCAGUUCCGGUACGUAGACCAAAUAAUACAAUGCAAGCAAAAGUUCCUAGAUUCAUGGAGAUAUAGAACAGCAUAUAAGUUAUCAUGCUUGCAUAUCCAUCAUUUGAUCUCCAACAAUUACUUCCAAAUAAUUACAUAUCCGAUUUUGCCCUUAAUGGACGAAUAUGCAAGCAUACGUUUCAUGCUUGUUNAGUAUAAGUACGAGAAGGAUUACCCCGUUAAAACCCUAAAACGUNUAACGUUCGUNNNNNNNNNNNNNNNNNNNNNNNNNNNNNNNNNNNNNNNNNNNNNNNNNNNNNNNNNNNNNNNNNNNNNNNNNNNNNNNNNNNNNNNNNNNNNNNNNNNNCAUUCCAUUACAAUAUCAUCAAGAACAAGAGAAAGAACUAAUAUCCUGUUUUGGGAUUUCGAUUGAAAUCCCCUUUAUGGGUGUUUUACGUAGAAAUACUAUUUUUGCUUAUUUUGACGAUCCCCGAUACAGAAAAGAUAAAAAGGGUUCAGGAAUUGUUAAAUUUAGAUAUAGGACCCUAGAAGAAGAAUAUAGGACUCGAGCGGAAGACUCAGAAGAGGAAUAUGAGACCCUAGAACACGAAUACAGGACCCGAGAGGACGAAUAUGAAACCCUAGAAGAAUCUAAAUAUGGAAUCCUAGAAGACGAAUACGAAUAUGAAACCCUAGAAAACGAAUAUGGGAGCCCAGAAAACAAAUAUGGGAACCCAGAGAACGAAUAUAGGACUUUAGAGAAAGACUCAGAAGAGGAAUAUGGGAACCCAGAGAGCAAAUAUAGGACCCAAGAGGACGAAUAUGGAACUUUAGAAGAAGACUCAGAAGACGAAUAUGGCAGCCCCGGGGAAAGCGGCGAGGAAAAAUAUGGUACUUUAGAGGAAGACUCAGAAGAAGACUCAGAGGACGAAUACGAGAGCCCAGAGGAAGAUUCCAUCUUAAAAAAAGAGGGUUUGAUUGAGCAUCGAGGAACAAAAGAAUUUAGUCUAAAAUACCAAAAAGAAGUAGAUCGGUUUUUUUUCAUUCUUCAAGAACUUCAUAUCUUGCCGAGAUCUUCAUCCCUAAAGAUACUUGACAAUAGUAUUAUUGGAGUGGAUACACAACUCACAAAAAAUACAAGAAGUGGACUAGGCGGACUGGUCCGAGUGAAGAGAAAAAAAAGCCAUACGGAACUCAAAAUAUUUUCCGGAGAUAUUCAUUUUCCUGAAGAGGCAGAUAAGAUAUUAGGUGGGUGUUUGAUACCGCCAGAAAGACAAAAAAAAGAUUCUAAGGAAUCAAAAAAAAAGAAAAAUUGGGUCUAUGUUCAACGGAAAAAAAUUCUCAAGAGCAAGGAAAAGUAUUUUGUUUCCGUUCGCCCUACAGUGGCAUAUGAAAUGGACGAAGGAAGAAAUUUAGCAACACUUUUCCCGCAGGAUCUCUUGCAAGAAGAAAAUAAUCUCCAAAUUCGACUUGUCAAUUUUAUUUAUCAUGAAAAUAGCAAGUUAACUCAAAGAAUUUAUCACACAAAUAGUCAAUUUGUUAGAACUUGCUUAGUAGUGAAUUGGGAACAAGAAGAAAAAGAAAAGGCUGGUGCUUCCCUUGUUGAGGUAAGAGCAAAUGAUCUUAUUCGCGAUUUCCUAAGAAUUGAGUUAGUCAAGUCCACUAUUUCGUAUACACGAAAAAGGUAUGAUAGGACAAGUGGAGGACCGACUCCCCAUAAUAGGUUAGAUCGCGCCAAUAGCAAUUCUUUUUAUUCCAAGGCGAAGAUUGAAUCACUUAGCCAACAUCAAGAAGCUAUUGGCACUUUGUUGAAUCGAAAUAAAGAAUACCAAUCUUUGAUGAUUUUGUCGGCAUCCAACUGUUCUCGAAUUGGUUUAUUCAAGAAUUCAAAACAUCCCAAUGCGAUAAAAGAAUGGAAUCCUAGAAUUCCUAUUCUAGAAAUUUUUGGGCCCUUAGGGGCUAUUGUAGCUAGUAUAUCGCAUUUUUCUUCAUCUUACUAUUUACUAACGCAUAAUAAAAUCCUGCUAAAAAAAUAUUUGUUCGUUGACAAUUUGAAACAAACCUUCCAAGUACUUCAAGAACUUAAAUACUCUUUAAUAGAUGAAAAUAAAAGGAUUUCCAAUUUCGAUAGUAACAUAAUGUUGGAUCCAUUCCUUUUGAAUUGUCACUUUGUCCAUCAUGAUUCUUGGGAAGAGACAUUGGCAAUAAUUCACCUUGGACAAUUUAUUUGUGAAAAUGUAUGUCUAUUUAAAUCGCACAUAAAAAAAAUCUGGUCAAAUUUUCAGUGUAAAUAUGGAUUCCUUUGUUAUAAGAGCAGCUAAACCUUAUUUGGCCACUACAGGAGCAACUGUUAAUGGUCAUUAUGGAGAAAUCCUUUACAAGGGAGAUAGGUUAGUUACGUUUAUAUAUGAAAAAUCGAGAUCUAGUGACAUAACGCAAGGUCUUCCAAAAGUGGAACAAAUCUUUGAAGCGCGUUCAAUUGAUUCAUUAUCCCCCAAUCUCGAAAGGAGAAUUGAGGAUUGGAAUGAGCGUAUACCAAGAAUUCUUGGGGUCCCUUGGGGAUUCUUGAUUGGAGCUGAGCUAACCAUAGCCCAAAGUCGUAUUUCUUUGGUUAAUAAAAUCCAAAAGGUUUAUCGAUCCCAAGGGGUACAGAUCCAUAAUAGACAUAUAGAGAUUAUUAUACGCCAAGUAACAUCAAAAGUGCGGGUUUCCGAAGAUGGAAUGUCUAAUGUUUUUUCGCCUGGGGAAUUAAUCGGACUAUUGCGAGCGGAACGAGCAGGGCGAGCUUUGGAUGAAUCGAUCUAUUAUCGGGCAAUCUUAUUGGGAAUAACAAGGGCUUCCCUGAAUACCCAAAGUUUCAUAUCUGAAGCAAGUUUUCAAGAAACUGCUCGAGUUUUAGCAAAAGCUGCCCUACGAGGUCGCAUUGAUUGGUUGAAAGGCUUGAAAGAAAACGUAGUUCUGGGGGGGAUUAUACCUGUUGGUACCGGAUUCCAAAAAUUUGUGCAUCGUUCCCCACAAGACAAGAACCUUUAUUUCGAAAUAAAAAAAAAAAAUCUAUUCGCGUCGGAAAUGAGAGAUUUUUUGUUUCUCCAUACAGAAUUAGUUUCUUCAGAUUCUGACGUAACAAACAAUUUUUAUGAGACAUAAAAACCCCCAUUUAACAUUUAACCCUAAGGAUACAUAAACAUAUUUUUUACUUUACUAGACUUUUGAACUUAGAACACUAACAGGUUAAAUUUUAGAUUUUUAAGAUUUUUAUUUUAAUAAGUAAACAAGUCAGUUAAUUCAUUAAAUUAAGGUUUUGUUUAUACCAUGUAUCAAUGUAUCAAUGGCCAACUCUUAGUACAAGGUUCUCUCAGAACAAUUAUUAUUUUAUUUAUUUCAAGCUAUUUCGGAUCUUUCUUAAUCUUCAAAAARRAAUAAAUUCCGUAAUGGAAUGUUAGGAUGARAAAAAAAGGAAGUGUAGGAAAAAWWGACAAGAAGAUAUUGGAACAUUAAAUUUAGUAAAGAGAUGAAUAGAAGCAGGAAGUUCCUAGUUUUGGUACUAGUUAGGGNNNNNNNNNNNNNNNNNNNNNNNNNNNNNNNNNNNNNNNNNNNNNNNNNNNNNNNNNNNNNNNNNNNNNNNNNNNNNNNNNNNNNNNNNNNNNNNNNNNNUUCUAUAUAUAUAGAAAUAUCAUAGAUAGAAUAGACAUAUAGAAUUUUGGUCGGCAAAUUCGAAGGAAUCAUUGAGUGAAAAAGGAGCAAAGAAUGACAAAAGACGAGACUCUACUAGUCUUCACUCUUGUGGUUUCCUCUUCCUCGGUUUCUGUUUUCUUAUUCGGGAUCUUGCUUUUCAUGGUUCUCAUCUCUGCAACUCGCGAUUUUCGCGAGAGAACCAAAUCCAAGUUGGUGAAGAUCAUGAUUUGGGCUGGCACGGUAUUGGGAUCGUUUGAUCGAUUUCCUUAAUUUGAUCGCUACUUAAUGGGCGUGCGCUCAAAGGAUACAAACAGGGAUUCGCAAACAAAAAGGGGAAUUCGUAGUCACUUUUUCCUGUCGCGUAAAAAAAAAGUCUUUACGCGAGAGCAAUAGAGGUUGGGAUACAUCUAUCUCUUCUGAGCAACCUCUUUGAUUCUUAAGACUACCCUUGCAGUAGGAUACCAUCUGCUUUGGGUUCUUUAUUAUCUCCUUUCGAGGGAUUUUUAAGAUCGUUCAGGCUAUAUUUAGUCUAUUUUUGGCUUUUACUGUCUACUUUUCUCAGGGAGAUUGGUUUAAGGACCUACAGAAAGUAUAGGUAAGGAGAGCGCCAGGCCCAGNUUUCCGGAAUCUUCUACGGGAUGCUNAUUGAAUGAGCUAUUCCUACCGAUUACUUAAUUCGUACCGUUUUAGAAAAGGGUACGGGUAACCUUACCGGGUAAACCCCUUACCCUAAACCGGCCCUUUUAACCCUUUUCGGAAAACGUUACCCCGGAAAANNNNNNNNNNNNNNNNNNNNNNNNNNNNNNNNNNNNNNNNNNNNNNNNNNNNNNNNNNNNNNNNNNNNNNNNNNNNNNNNNNNNNNNNNNNNNNNNNNNNAAUGGAUAGUUCCGAAUAAGCGGCUUCAGCAGUCGGUCAAGGGCUAUAACAAAAAUGGCGAAAAUAUCUACCUUUUAAUUGGUCGACUAGUCAAAUAGAUCAGAAAAUGUUACGAGAUUUAGAAUUAAUUGAAUUCAGUAUUAAGUUCAAGACAUACUUAAGUAGCGUCUAACCAUGUUUCGGCUUGUGAUCAAUCCAUAAGAUACCAAUCGRAAAUAAAUAGACACUCWAAAAAAAGUACAUGCUCAAACAUCAUUAACUAACUCCUUAUCAAUCUCGAUUCAUUUCAAUAUGAGGGCAAAGAAUUGAACCGAUUCAAUUAAUUACAAUAGAACAAUUACACAACAAAAGAGAAAAGAAAGGAGGUAUUUGUUGGCAGUAGAUGGGUUUUACUAAAUCAAAAUUGUGAUUCUUUAGUUAUUUAUUUUAGAUUUGCAAUUCUUAUAAUUUUUACUUUUUCUAAGUUUUCUUAUUGCCGAGCCAUAGUAAUUGCACCUAUUAAAGAAACUAGAAGAAUUAUGGAAAUGAGUUCAAACGGAAGAUAAAAAUCGGUUGCUAAAUGAAUUCCAAUUUGUUGAACAUUAUUUAUGAGACCCUGUUCUACUAUUUGGUUUGAUCUUGUAGUCCAAAGAAUUCCAUACCAUGACGUAUCUGGGAUAGUAGUCAUUAGUGAAAAAACAAAAGUUAUACAAACGAGUGAAGUGAACCCAUCUCCAAUAGUCCAAUAAUUCUUAUCUUUAGACCAUUCUGAGCCAUUUACGAACAUUACAGCGAAUAUGAUCAAGACAUUUAUGGCUCCCACAUAAAUAAGAAGUUGUGCGACAGCUACAAAGUAGGAAUUUAAUAAAAAAAUAGAAUAAGGAUAUACAAACAAGAACUAAUCCCAGCGAAAAGGCAGAAUAAAUGGGGUUGGUAAGUAAUACUACUCCUAGACCCCCUAGUAGAAGAAUAAAUCCCCCAAAUAGCAUAAGAAUCUCAUGUAUUGGUCCAGGUAAAUCCAUUAUGGAUAAAAAGAAAUUAAUAGUAUAAAAUUUUUCAUGAACUGACUAAAACUAAAGGAUUCGAGGAAGGAAAAAGGGAUUAGGGUAUUUUUUGUGUAUAAACUGUAUAGUUAUAAACUAUAUUAUAUCAUCAAAAUCUAGUCUGAUUUAAAAUAAGAAAAAAUUUCCAAUAAGCAGUAGUUAUUCGUUUUUCUUUAUAGUUUAAUAAAGAAUUAGUAGAUUUUUAUAACAAAAAGACAAAAUCAAAGUUUAGUAAUCAGUAAUCGUUCUUGAAUUCGAAGAAUUUUUCUUCGUUUAUUUUACUUUCAGACGAAUUCCUAAUUGUUUGAAUUGUGUAAUCUCCCAUUAUGGAGAUUGGUAACCGACUUAAAGCAAUUUGAUUGUAAUUCAAUUCAUGACGAUCAUAGGUAGAAAGUUCAUAUUCUUCAGUCAUUGAUAAACAGCUUGUUGGACAGUACUCAACACAAUUGCCACAAAAUAUACAAACUCCGAAAUCAAUACUAUAAUUAAGCAAUUGUUUCUUUUUAUAUCCUUUUCAAAUCUCCAAUCCACAACGGGUAGAUCUAUCGGACAUACGCGAACACAUACUUCACAAGCAAUACAUUUAUCAAAUUCAAAGUGGAUUCGCCCUCGGAAACGCUCUGGUGUAAUUGAUUUUUCAUAAGGGUAGUGAAUCGUUAUAGGUAAACGAUUUGUGUGGGAUAAGGUAGUUAUGAAACUUUGACCUAUGUACCUUGUAGCACGUAUUGUUUGUUGACCAUAACUCAUGAACCCAGUUACCAUAGGGAACAUAUUCAUUCUAAAUAUCUAUGAAAAAGAUAUGUUUCUUUCUCUUGUUUGGGAGAGCUUUUUGUGUUGAAAAUAUUCUUACUAUCUAUUAUUGUAUUAUCUUAUUUAUAGUGAAACAAGUUGAGAAGAGGUUGUUAAUAAUAGAUUGCCCAGGGAAAUAGGUAAAAGAAAUUUCCAUCCAAGAUUUAAUAACUGAUCCAUUCUCAUCCUUGGUAAAGUCCAUCUUAUUGUGAUAGAAAUGAAGAGAAAUAAAUAAGCUUUAGUUAAUGUAAUAAAUAUACCCAUUGUCAUUUCCAAAAUUCCAACUGCUUUAUUCAUUUGGAAAAAAAUCAAAAAAGGAUAUAUAGGGAAUAGAGAAAUUCCACCCGCCCAAGUAGAGAACUGUUACAAAUAAAGAAGAAACUAAUAAAUUUAGGUAAGAAACAAGAUAAAAUAAACCAUAUUUGAUACCGGAAUAUUCAGUUUGGUAACCUGCUACUAAUUCUUCCUCUGCUUCUGGUAAAUCAAAGGGUAAUCUUUCACAUUCUGCCAAAGAAGAAAUUAAAAAAACCAGAAAGCCUAUAGGCUGACGCCAAAUAUUCCAUCCAAAAAAACCAUAUUUUGACUGUGCUUCAACUAUAUCAACUGUACUUGAACUGUUAGAUAAUCAUAGUCGAUGAUAACAUCACAGUUCCCACCGCUAUUUCAAAACCGUACAUGAAACCUUAGCUUCAUACGGCUUCUCUAUGAUCAGAAAAAGGAAAGGACUGUUUUGUUCUGUUCCUAGCCCCUGGGGCAUAGAUAGAAUUAGGUAAAAUAAAAUAGAUUUGAAAGUCCUAAAUUAGACCAAAGGAAUUCCGUCUGCUAGAAUAAGAAAAAGCGCUUCUGAAUUGAUCUCAUCCUUUAUAAUAUAUUCCAAAUUUUUCUUUGUUCAGUAAUAACUUAAUCUUGGAAUAAAACACUUGGUACUUGUUUUGUUAUAGGAAUUCAAUUAAUAAAUGGAAAGAGUGGAGUAUUAGUUCAUGAGCAAUUCUGCAUGAAUAGAGGAAGGAAAUAAUGCAAAUUUUUUCUAGUGCACUCCAUAUCUUUUUUACUAUUCUUCUUUCCCCCGGGAAGGGGGUAUUUAAAAAGAAAAAUGGAUAAAGGGUUAAUUCGUUCUUGAUAGCCAUUUCCUUAACAAGUGAAUGGGAACAUACUCUGGAUCGGAAUCCGAAGAAAGUACUACUUGAUAAUUUCUACAAAUUGCAAGUCCUUAUUAUGAUUCCUUUUACGGGAAAAAAUCUCUAAUGUUUUAGAUUUUCCAUUACUAAUCCUUUAUGUACUUUAGUGUUCCUAACCCUUCACUAACUUUUGGUGGAUUCUUCUUAUGAAUUUUUAAGUUAUAGUAAUAACUAGGAGUAUUCUAAUAAUGGAAUUCCAUAUUGUGAAUCCUUUAUUCUUGCCCGCUUCAAGAUAUGAUGAGUAAUUAAAAAAUAUCAACCUUGGGAUAAAGAGUUUACACUCUUUAUGUUUACUUCCACUUUUUUCUUGUACGUAGAAAAUGAGAUUUUUUUCUUUUUACUACAAAUUUAGAAGCUGUUUUAUUUCACUCAUAUAGCUAUCUAGUUUAACUUACCAACCCAAAUACUAAAUAAGAAAAGGAAUAUAAAUAGUUAAUGGAUUUUAUAGGAAAAAGAUCCUAUUUUAACGAAUCACAC